GGGGAGUACGGCCGCAAGGCUGAAACUUAAAGGAAUUGGCGGGGGAGCACCACAAGGGGUGGACGUUGCGGCUUAAUUGGAGUCAACGCCGGAAACCUUACCGGGGGCGACAGCAGGAUGAAGGCCAGAUUGAAGGUCUUGCCGGACGAGCUGAGAGGAGGUGCAUGGCCGUCGCCAGUGCGUGCCGUGAGGUGUCCUGUUAAUUCAGGCAAACCGGGGUGUUCCCUCGAUGGUUGCUGAAGGGCUAGAUACGUGGGUAUAUUGGAUGGCUGGAAUAUGGGCCGCUGAUAAAGGGACUUUGGCGAAGGGUGUCAUGAGUAUAAGAAGCAAAGACCAUGAAGUAAUUCAACGUUGCCAACAUAUCUUUACAGCUUACUUAGGUCUGGCAGAAAACAAGAUAAGACUUCGCACAACAAAAGGCUAUAGUGCCGUAGUCAGCAGUUUCAAGAUAGAUAGACUUCAGAUGGAGGGGUUUUCCCCAGGCCUAAGGCUCUUCCAGGAGCUUAUGAGGGCUCCGAUGAGCUCAUGAGGAGCCCCGAGGCUGAUGAAUCCCAUGACCUACGUAUGCCCAUGAAAGACUACGCAGGUCAGAACCCUCAACAGAGAUAUACGUUGUUUCUUCCGAUAUUAGAAGAGUUAUUGAACAGAUAGUCGCUGAAAGGACGAAGCUGAGGAAUGCUAAAGCUCAAGCAUACCUGGCUGGUUUAUUCGAUGGAGAUGGUUCGGUAGACCCACCAAGAAGCUUACUAUACUAUUGUUAUGGAAAGCACCAACAGCAAGAAAUAUCUGAGGACCGUAAACUUAUAGAGGUACUUGGAUUCAAAACUUCAUGCGGCCCAUCAGUUAGAGCAUUAAAAUUACGCGUUCUUAAACCACGUAACUUCGCUCCCCUCAUACUUCCUUGGAUAGUUAUUCCACGUAAGAUUAUAGGCCUUCCGCAACUAAUUGAGGGCUACCCCCGGGUCGAACGGACGAGACCCGCGCCCCCAGUUGCCACAAGGCCGUUAGGCGCUGGGCACUCUGGGGGGACUGCCCCGGAAACGGGGAGGAAGGAGCGGGCCACGGCAGGUCAGUAUGCCCCGAAUCCCCCGGGCCGCACGCGACGUUCAAUGGUGGGGACAGUGGGUUGCCACCCCGAAAGGGGGAGCUAAUCCCUAAACCCCACCUCAGUUGGAAUCGAGGGUUGCAACUCGCCCUCGUGAACGCGGAAUCCCUAGUAACCGCCCGUUACCACCGGGCGGUGAAUACGUCCCCGCUCCUUGCACACACUGCCCGUCGCUGCACCCGAGCUGGGGUUGGACGAGGACCCGUCGUUGUUGGCGGGUUCGAGUCCGACCCCGGUGAGGGGGCAGAAGUCGUAACAAGGUGGCCGCACGGGAACGUGUGGCCGGAUCACCUCCU
rnacentral:rRNA from 1 species